AAAGGAUUAUUAUUAUUCUUUCUGUUAGAUGAGGAACUUCAGGAUCAAAGAGGUUAAAUAAUUUCCCCAAGUUGAUAGGUAGCAAAUACAGGACAAUUUAAAAAAUGCAUGCAAAAUCUGUGUUCCACAUAUGAGGGAAAAUGUGAUAUUUGUGUUCCUGGGUUUGGGUGAUUUCUGUAAUAUAACUUCCAGUUCUACCCAUUUCCCUGCAGAUGAUGUGAUUUGUUCUUCAAAGACAGGAUCUGAAUCAAGAUAAUGAUUUUAGAAAGUCAGAACCCAUACAAGAAUAAGCCUACAUUUCAGCUGAAUGUUUAUCAGAAGCCACUAAGCAAUUUCAGCAGGGGAGAUUGGCCUGUAAUUUUCUUUGUGUGUGUGUCUUUAUCUGAAUUUGACAACCAAAGUGCUGUGGAGAUAGGUAUGGGAAACACUCCAUGAGUUUUAUGAGAGCAGGCCCCGGGAAGUGAGUGGUAUAAGUUUCCACCAAGACACUCAAGAUGUGCCUUCUACAGCCAAGCUGAAAGGUAAGGGGCUAGAUGAAAGGAGGCUUCCAGGGCAGAGGAGGAACUUGGCAAGUGCUACAAUUAUGAUGGCCCCAGUUCUAGGCAUGAUGAUAUUGAGAAAAUAAAUUUACAAAGACAGAAAAAUCA
rnacentral:lncRNA from 1 species